CCCUCAGAUGGGGAGAGUUUCCUGGAUCAUCCAGGUGCUCCCAAAGUCAUCACAGGGGUCCCCGUGAGUAGAAGACGGAAGCAGGAAAGAGUCACCAUCAGGUGACAUGGGAAUGACUCAACCUGCCAUUGCUGGUUUUGAAGAUCCAGGGAGGGGCCACUGCCAAGGAAUGAAGCAGUUUCUAGAAGCCUGAAAAGCCAAGAGCACAGAUUCACCCUCGAGGCCCCAGAAGGAAGCAGUCCUGCCAACACCUUGACCCUCGCUCAGGGAGACCCGGUUUGGACUUCCACCCUCUGGAACUGUGAGAUGAUACAUUUGUGUUGUUUUAAGCCACUAAGUCUGUGGGAAUCUGUUAUUGCAGUGACAGGAAAUCAAUAAGAAGAGAAGGCCCCAAAUCCGUAGAUGUGGGGAGCCAGGGCAACACGCCAAGGCUGAACGGGGGCUGCAGGGCCCACCUUGGGGAAACUUGGGGGAGCUACUCCUCCCUCACGGCAGCCAUGGCAUUAGGGGGAGCUGUCAGUCACUGGGCUUGGAGAACACAGCUGCACUUCUGGAGAUAUUAGAUGCAACAGUUGCAAAUUAUGCACUAAUUCUUCAGGACUUCUGGGCCACAAAUUAGAAUAUGAAGAGACAGAAGAAAAUAGACUCUCAGUACCACAGAGAAAAAAUGCUUCUUUAUGUGAGAAUCCAUUUUGUUUGCCUGAUCUCAGAAGAUGGAGUUGAUAAGGUCUUUGCCCAGCGUCCAGGAAGAAUGAGGUCACUCGGACUUGGAGGAUGGUGAAUGUGGGGAUUUUAUUGAGUAAUGGAGGUGUCUCUCAGAGGGAUGGAUGGGGAGCUGGAAAGGAGAUGGACUGGAAGAUUAUCUUCCCCCUGGAGUCCAGCUGUCCCUCGGCCAGUCUCCUCUCUGACCAUCCCCAGCCGAACCCCUCCCAACAUUCAGACGCACCUUCUCUUCUCUCCUUCUCUGCCUCACCGCCCUGCCGUUCUUCUACUCUUCUUUUUUUCUGCUCAUGGAGCUUGGGGUUUAUAUGGACACACGAUAGGGGUGUGGUGAGCCAGAGUGACCUUGGAGAAGGCAACAUUUGGGCAUGAAAACAGGAAAGCUUGUUCCCAUUUAGGGCCGUGGGUUUCCAGGCUUGGGGGCGGGGCCUUUGCUGGGGAAACGCCCUUCUGCUUCCUGUCCGUAUCAGCAUGCAUGUGAUGUAAUCAUGUGCACAGUUUCAGGGAGGGAACCCUUUUCCUCUACUCUCUUAGGUUUUGUAUUGAGGGCCUGAAAAUUAAACUGAAAAAAAAAGACAACAUAGCGAGAGAAAAAAACCCUCAGAUUUAAUUACAUAUGUAUGUGUGGGAGUUCACAAAGAAGUGUGACCCAAGGAAGCAGUUAGAAUUUGGGGCUUAUGUAUCAUCUUAACAGGGGAAGGGACACCUCUGGGAGAAAUGACUUCUUAGACGAAGGGGAGAAGGGUCACUUAUGGAAAAACGAUUGUCUUUUUGGAAAAAUAAAUAUGGCCUUAGGAGAAAAGAUAAGAGAUAUGAUGGUUUUGUGAAGUUUGUUUGAGAUGUAAACCAAAAAUAAAAUUCAAAGGCC
rnacentral:lncRNA from 1 species